rnacentral:misc_RNA from 1 species
CUUGAAUGGCAUGAUAAUGAAAUUGAGAAAGUGUUCAUGUUGUUUAGGAUAAAGAAUAGUUGGAACAAAUCCAUGCCUGAGAUGGGUUUGCAAGAGGCAAUCGCAACAAUCAUCUUGGAAUUCUUCACAAUUAGCACAUUUUUGCAUGUCCUCUAAGUCAUAUUGAUCUGGCUUCACUUCUGACAGGAAAGAGGGACGAUUCUGAGAAAGAACCUUUACAUUUGGGGCUGACUCUCCACAGGACUUGUGAAGGAUGAAUUCAUUGCAGUCUACACAUUCAUAGCAAGAGCCAGAAACGAGGUUUGAGCAACUUUUGCAUAGAAGUUUAUCCUCUUUUGGUUUCUCGGAUAAGCUUAAUGCAUGCAAAUGGUCAAUUGUUGGUGGUUUGAUUUUUUUCUGAUUCUUGAUCGCAUUGUCUUCUGUUGUGUGCUGAAGCAAAGUGGACAUUUCGUCUAUGACCUCCUCCACAUCAAAUGACUCUUCGUCGACCAAGAGCUUCUUGACAUUUCCAACAUUAUAAUUGUGGUGCUGAUCAUUGGUGUCAAAUUCGAUGAUGAUGAGACGGGCCUUUCCAUUACUCUCCAGCUGCACCAGUUUUUCUACAUUGGCAGGAUGAGAGAGCUGCGUGUUGAUGACAACAUUGAUUCCUAGGCUGAGUUGAGUUGAUGCGAUUUGGAUAACAGCUUCAAAAGGUAAAUGUUGUGCAAGUUCAUUGGGAACUUGGUAUUUGGCUGACUUUGAGGAGGUCGUAAGGGGGAAUUUUUGAAGAGCUUCGGCGACAUCAUUCUCACUGAUGAGAGGGCAUCGGAGGAAUUUGGCCAAUUCUUGAGAUACUUUGCCGCCGUUGUUAGACUGGGAUCCUGAAUGAUCUUCCAUUGCUAUGAUCAAUGGAAACUGAAAAUUGUCCACUUUUAUCAUUGUGAAAAUAGGAAAGUCGAAGGAAUUCAAAGGUGAUGAAUGUGUCUAUACUAAUUACUAA